AUUGAACGCUGGCGGCAGGCCUAACACAUGCAAGUCGAACGAGUGGCGGACGGGUGAGUAAUGUCUGGGAAACUGCCUGAUGGAGGGGGAUAACUACUGGAAACGGUAGCUAAUACCGCAUACCAUCGGAUGUGCCCAGAUGGGAUUAGCUAGUAGGUGGGGUAAAGGCUCACCUAGGCGACGAUCCCUAGCUGGUCUGAGAGGAGGACGGGCCACACUGGAACUGAGACACGGUCCAGACUCCAACGGGGGGAAGCAGUGGGGAAUAUCGCAAAAUGGGCGCAAGCCGGAUGCAGACAGGCCGCGUGUAUGAAGAGGGCCUUCGGGUGGUAAAGUACGUUCAGCGGGGAGGCGUUACCCGAAGAAGAAGCACCGGCUAACUCCGUGCCAGCAGCCGCGGUAAUUC
rnacentral:rRNA from 1 species